GACUCGGUGGCGGAUGGUCUGCGUCCAUGAUUCAUGAGCCUCGACUAUCACUUUGACCAUGGAAGUUGCUUGUUCGAAUCAGGCCUGAGUCA